rnacentral:rRNA from 1 species
GGGGAAUUUUCCGCAAUGGGCGUGACAUGACGGAGCAAUACCGCGUGAGGGAAGAAGGCUCUUGGGUUGUAAACCUCUUUUCUCAGGGAAGAAGUCCUGACGGUACCUGAGGAAUCAGCAUCGGCUAACUCCGUGCCAGCAGCCGCGGUAAUACGGAGGAUGCAAGCGUUAUCCGGAAUUAUUGGGCGUAAAGAGUCCGUAGGUGGUCAAAUAAGUCUGCUGUCAAAGACCGGGGCUUAACUCCGGAAAGGCAGUGGAAACUGUGUGACUAGAGACCGGGAGGGGUAGAGGGAAUUCCCAGUGUAGCGGUGAAAUGCGUAGAGAUUGGGAAGAACACCGGUGGCGAAGGCGCUCUACUGGACCGGAACUGACACUGAGUUUCGAAAGCUAGGGGAGCGAAAGGGAUUAGAUACCCCUGUAGUC